CAGAGGGGCACUCACAAAAAAUGGUGUCAGACAUGAAAGUGUGGGUGAGAUAAAGGAAUAUUGUUUCUUUACAAUAUGAAUUCCUCCAUGCAGAAAAAAAUGGCACCCACUGUCAUUAUUGAUACUGGCUGAACGUUUAUGGAGACAAAACUGUAAUUUCCAUGGAAAUAAAUAGGAUGUGUUACUUUUGGAGCGACCUGUGUACAUAAAUGUACUACAUUCCUGCUAAAAAUUGAUGUAUCUGUGCAAGAACGAAGCGAUGACAGUGUUACCAUAACCCUGAUACCAUCCAAACCAACUCUUUUCCUCCAAUGGUGGUGAAGUUUCUGCUGAGGACAGAGCCCAAUUUUGGACCAAGGAAGAUGUGAGCCAAUAGAAAUAAACCCAGAAUCUAAAUUGUGCCUACAUUGACUGUUGGAACUCGUCUGUGAAUCUAAGAGCUCAUCUACUAUGCAAAGCUUGAGAAGGAUGGGUGUGAGGAGCAGAUUGCUGAAGUCGCACCAAUUCCAGGAGAAUGCUGUAAAGAGAAGGUGGAACUGAGGGGUGGUAGAAGCCUACAGGCAACUUUGCAGCUCAGUAUUGACCCCACAGGGUUUGUCACUAUCACUUCUGUCCUCCUACAGUUCAGACCUUCCCACACACUGUCGGCUACAAUUAAAUACAUAUGCCAGGCAUGACAAACAGAGGGGCUUUAUCAUACGAUGUGAGAAACAGAUUUUGUGUACUGUCUUCAAGUGACUGAAUUACUGGAGGCACAAUAAGCCGUGUAAUACUGUAGUGUGAUAUAAAUAAAUGGAAAAGUCACUUUCAAAGCAAUAAAUUUUACACCAGCAAAUCUCACAGUCUCUGUUAAACUGGAUCCUGACACAAAAGGUCUAGAAAU
rnacentral:lncRNA from 1 species